rnacentral:ncRNA from 1 species
UUUGAGGGGAGCUUGGGUGUCCAGGCUGAGAGGGCAUUGUUUAUAUGUCGACCCAUUAACACCUGAUCUGGGUAAUGCCAGCGGAGGGAAUCGA